CGGGCCGAGCGGAGGAAGGGGAGGGCCGUGCGCCCGGCGGCCGGGAGGCGGCCCCGCCCGUGGCCCCGCCCCGCUCCCGUUACUCUCGGGAAGGUUUCCGAGGCCGCUCCCAUCCUCACCCCACCUCCCGGCCCGGCACUGGCCUCGCCGCCGGAGCCCCACUAUGCCAGACGGUUUCGACACUUCGCAAAGACAAAGAGCCCCCGAGCAGAGCGAGGAGAGAGAGCAGGAAGGCGAGGACACAGAGGCGCCGGGGGCGAUGUGAGCCGCGGGAUUCCACUUCCUUGGCUGGAAACGCCAGUGGCAGGCAGCCGGUAACUCUGAGGACUGUGCCGAGCAAAGGGACGAGUCUGCCUGGGGACCGGGGAUGGACAGCCCCUUGGCCUUCUGAGGAACAUCCUUCUAUGACAAGUGCCAGCCAGCUGAAGAAGGGCAGGCACAAUGCUUCACUGUGCUCCGGAGCAAGCGGUAAACCACAGUCCAUGGGACACACCUGGCCUGGGCUGGUUUUGCAAAUAAAUCACAUGACCUCUAGCCAAGCCCCCCAGACCAGAAGAAAUGUGCUGUCAACCAAUGUCAGUCAUGGCCAUGUGCUGUGUUUGGGCACUGAGGUCCAGGCUAUUUGUUUUGUGGGGAAAACCGACACAACCACAUUUGUGGAGCCAUCUGGCAGGUGUCUUCACCUCUUGGUAGCAGGGGAGUCAUUGUGACAGAGACCCUGUGGCUGCAGAG
rnacentral:lncRNA from 1 species